CAAUAGCGUAUAUUAAAGUUGUUGUGGUUAAAAGCUCGUAGUUGGAUCUCGGCGGACUGAGGGCGGUUUGCUUGCUAGUAUUACUGCCCUAUAGUCCGUAGUUUUGCCAGAGGUUUCGAGGUGCUCUUAAUCGAGUGUCCCGGGAUGCUGGCAGGUUUACUUUGAAAAAUUAGAGUGUUCAAAGCAGGCCUACGCUUGAAUACAUUAGCAUGGAAUAAUGGAAUAGGACUUUGGUGCUAUUUUGUUGGUUUAUGGGACCGAAGUAAUGAUUAACAGGGACAGUUGGGGCCGUUAUAUUUCGUUGUCAGAGGUGAAAUUCUUGGAUUUACGAAAGAUAAACUUCUGCGAAAGCAUUCGGCAAGGAUGUUUUCAUUGAUCAAGAACGAAAGUUAGGGGAUCGAAGACGAUCAGAUACCA
rnacentral:rRNA from 1 species